AACAGGAUGGCCGAGUGGUCUAAGGCGCCAGACUCAAGUUCUGGUCUUCGAAAGAGGGCGUGGGUUCAAAUCCCACUUCUGACA
rnacentral:tRNA from 2 species